GAGUCUUCUAGAUGACAGAAAAUUACGCGGCACAUUAAUAUCUCUAUGUAAACCCGACGUGUGGGCCUUUCCUCCAUAUUUCCUGAUAACCCCCUGCAGAAAUAGACAAACACCAAAACUCGUGGAAUUCUGUCAGAUAAAACCCUAAGUCUGGGUGUUGGUUGCAUUUGGAUCCUUUUUCUUUAUUUAUUUGAUGAUUAUAUUUGGUACUUAAGGACCGUCAACAACUCCCCAAGCUUACCUCUUGCUCGUCCCUGAGCAAGUUUGAACUCAAGAGUUUCUGCAGUGGUUUUAUGCUUUAAAAGUACACAUGCAUUCAAGCAUGAUCUCAUCUCUGAGUUUAGAGUAAACUUGUUAAAACUUAAAACUUACUCAUUUUACCUUUCACCAUGGGGCUUGCAACCGUCACUUGUGUCUUGAGCAGUUAAAAGAUAGAACGGUCAAGUUAAGUGCCAUGUCUCUUGUUCUUUGAUCAUCUAUAGCUCUGGAGUUUUUGUAGAUUUUCAAAUAAAACUCAGAGAUUCCUUAUAUGAUUCUCUCAAAUCUCUCUUUUGUGGUAUUUCUGGAUCCUUACCAAGGCAAUAAUGGUAUAUGCCUUCUCUCAAAAUAUGUGGUAUUUUUGGUAUGAGGCAUAGUGAUAUUGCCUUCUCUCUCACCCUACUCUAAUAAGGUUUUGAUAUCUGGAGCUCAUAGGUAGGAGACAGCUAAUACAUACUUACAAGACAUUUAUUGCAUAGUCAAACCAUGGAUCUAGAGAAACAAUUCAAUAAGUCAAAUCAAGAUGUGCAUGUGUGGUGAGUGAAUGGUGUAUGGUGAUGAUGGUGAUAACAAUGGUGAAAGUCUAAUUCUAUUUUUGCUCUUUUAAGGGGAUACAUACCUUUCUUGCACUUUGAAGCUUUUUGAGGAGAAUGAGAUGCUCUAUAUUUUCUUUUUCUUUCUCUCUCAGGUGGGUAUCUUGUUCCCCUAAUUCUACUGUCGGACACUUGUCCAUUUUUACCUCUCGUCUCACUUUUUCUUUUCUUUGAGGUUCCAGGCACUUGCCCCUUUUUAUUUCCUCGUAUUUUUCCCUUUUUCUUCUUUUUUUAGAGAGCACUCAUCUCCUAAAAUAAUAUAGCAAGUGGUAGUAACCAAGAUAACUCGAGCAUUUAUUUCACAGAGAAAAAUAAAAAUAGGAGAAUGUUUUUGGCUAUUCUCUCCUAGAUUAGGAGUAGAAUAAUUGUAGGUGAAUCUGGAGAUGGAAUUGAGUGGAUGUAUGUGGAUGCGUACUUCCGGAGUAGAAGAAACAUGUGUGAGUGAACGUGCAAGUGAAUCUUGAUUUUAACCACAUGACAAGCUCCUAAGGGUCUACACAGCUUGACUACACUCAAUGCUCAUAAGCAGUAAAAAGUAAAUGUGUGGCUCAAAGUCUAAUAAGCAUGUAUAUAUGGCUGUGGUAGGAUUUUAAACUCUCAUCAUACAGGAACUCAUCAAGUGUUAUUUUAAAGAUUUUCAAAGAUAAAAUUCUCCAUAAUUCUAGCAUCUCUAGGAAUAGAUAAACAUCAGCUCAACCUUCCCAUAUCAUAUCCGUUAACGGCUUAGACUUUAGAUCAAGUACUCUUCCCACAAGUUCAGGUUUAGAGCAGGUUUAAAUUAUAAUAAUUAUGCCUAAACUUGAGAGAGAUUUCAAUUUUAAGUAGUCAUGGCAGAGCAACUAUUCAUCAUUUCCAUGUGAGAGCUUAUCAUAAGGGUUCAUAGCAAACUUUAUUUAUUAAAAAAAACUAAGCAAAG
rnacentral:lncRNA from 1 species